GCGGUCGUGGUGGAACGGCAGACACGCUAUCUUGAGGGGGUAGUGCCCACUGGGUGUGAGGGUUCAAAUCCCUCCGACCGCA
rnacentral:tRNA from 1 species